rnacentral:rRNA from 1 species
GACGAACGCUGGCGGCGUGCUUAACACAUGCAAGUCGAGCGGUAAGGCCCUUUCGGGGGUACACGAGCGGCGAACGGGUGAGUAACACGUGGGUGACCUGCCCUCAGCUCUGGGAUAAGCCCGGGAAACUGGGUCUAAUACUGGAUAUGACUCCAUGACGCAUGUUGUGGGGUGGAAAGCCUUGUGCGGCUGAGGACGGCC